rnacentral:rRNA from 1 species
UAGGGAAUAUUGGUCAAUGGGUGAGAGCCUGAACCAGCCAUGCCGCGUGCAGGAAGACGGCCUUAUGGGUUGUAAACUGCUUUAGCCAGGGGCUAAAAUACUCGUGCGCGAGGGAUUGAAAGUACCUGGAUAAUAAGCCACGGCUAACUACGUGCCAGCAGCCGCGGUAAUACGUAGGUGGCGAGCGUUGUCCGGAUUUAUUGGGUUUAAAGGGUGCGUAGGCGGCCUUAUAAGUCAGUGCUGAAAUAUCCCGGCUUAACCGGGAGGGUGGCAUUGAUACUGUAGGGCUUGAGUACAGAUGAGGUAGGCGGAAUUGACGGUGUAGCGGUGAAAUGCAUAGAUAUCGUCAAGAACACCGAUAGCGAAGGCAGCUUACUAAGUUGUAACUGACGCUGAGGCA